rnacentral:rRNA from 1 species
UACAGAGGGUGCGAGCGUUAAUCGGAAUUACUGGGCGUAAAGCGCACGUAGUCGGCUUUGCAAGUCGGGUGUGAAAUCCCCGGGCUCAACCUGGGAACUGCAUCCGAGACUGCAUUGCUAGAGUAUGGGAGAGGGAAGCGGAAUUUCUGGUGUAGCAGUGAAAUGCGUAGAUAUCAGAAGGAACAUCAGUGGCGAAGGCGGCUUCCUGGACCAAUACUGACGCUGAGGCACGAAAGCGUGGGGAGCAAACAGG